CCUACGGGGUGCUGCAGUGGGGAAUAUUGGGCAAUGGGCGCAAGCCUGACCCAGCAACGCCGCGUGAAGGAAGAAGGCUUUCGGGUUGUAAACUUCUUUUCUCAGGGACGAAGCCAGUGACGGUACCUGAGGAAUAAGCCACGGCUAACUACGUGCCAGCAGCCGCGGUAAUACGUAGGUGGCAAGCGUUAUCCGGAUUUACUGGGUGUAAAGGGCGUGUAGGCGGGACUGCAAGUCAGAUGUUAAAACCAUGGGCUCAACCUAUGGCCUGCAUUUGAAACUGUAGUUCUUGAGUACUGGAGAGGCAGACGGAAUGCCUAGUGUAGCGGUGAAAUGCGUAGAUAUUAGGAGGAACAGCAGUGGCGAAGGCGGUCUGCUGGACAGCAACUGACGCUGAUGCGCGAAAGCGUGGGGAGCAAACAGGAUUAGAUACCCGAGUAGUC
rnacentral:rRNA from 1 species